AGCUCCAAUAGCGUAUACUAAAGUUGUUGCAGUUAAAAAGCUCGUAGUUGAAUUUCGGUGGCCCAACGGCGGUCGGCCGCAAGGUCUGUACUGCCGGUUUUCGGACCACCUCUUUCUGGGGGAACGUCGGCCCUUAACUGGGCUCGGCGGCCGAACCAGGACGUUUACUUUGAAAAAAUUAGAGUGUUUAAAGCAAGCGUACGCUUGAAUACAUUAGCAUGGAAUAAUGAAAUAGGGCUUCAGUUCUAUUUUGUUGGUUUUCAGAAUCCGAAGCAAUGAUUAAUAGGGAUAGUUGGGGGCGUCAAUAUUUGAUUGUCAGAGGUGAAAUUCUUGGAUUUAUGAAAGAUUAACUUCUGCGAAAGCAUUCGCCAAGGAUGUUUUCA
rnacentral:rRNA from 1 species